GCAAGUCGAGCGGCAGCGGGUCCUUCGGGAUGCCGGCGAGCGUGCGGACGGGUGAGUAAUGCCUAGGAAUCUGCCUGGUAGUGGGGGAUAACUCGGGGAAACUCGAGCUAAUACCGCAUACGUCCUACGGGAGAAAGCGGGGGAUCUUCGGACCUCGCGCUACCAGAUGAGCCUAGGUCGGAUUAGCUAGUUGGUGAGGUAAAGGCUCACCAAGGCGACGAUCCGUAGCUGGUCUGAGAGGAUGAUCAGCCACACUGGAACUGAGACACGGUCCAGACUCCUACGGGAGGCAGCAGUGGGGAAUAUUGUACAAUGGGCGAAAGCCUGAUCCAGCCAUGCCGCGUGUGUGAAGAAGGUCUUCGGAUUGUAAAGCACUUUAAGUUGGGAGGAAGGGCAGUAAGUUAAUACCUUGCUGUUUUGACGUUACCGACAGAAUAAGCACCGGCUAACUUCGUGCCAGCAGCCGCGGUAAUACGAAGGGUGCAAGCGUUAAUCGGAAUUACUGGGCGUAAAGCGCGCGUAGGUGGUUUGAUAAGUUGGAUGUGAAGCCCCGGGCUCAACCUGUGAAUUGCAUCCAAAACUGUCUGACUAGAGUAUGGCAGAGGGUGGUGGAAUUACCUGUGUAGCGGUGAAAUGCGUAGAUAUAGGAAGGAACACCAGUGGCGAAGGCGACCACCUGGGCUACUACUGACACUGACGUGCGAAAGCGUGUGGAGCAAACAGGGAUUAGAUACCCUGCUAGUCUACGCCGUACACGAUGUCGACUACCCGUUCGGAUCCUUGAGAUCUUAGUUGACGCAGCUAACGCAUUAAGUCGACCGCCUGGGGUAGUACGGCCGCAAGGGUACUACUCAAAUGAAUUGACGGAA
rnacentral:rRNA from 1 species